UACGGGGGGGGCAAGCGUUGUUCGGAAUUACUGGGCGUAAAGGGCUCGUAGGUGGCCAACUAAGUCAGACGUGAAAUCCCUUGGCUUAACCGGGGAACUGCGUCUGAUACUGGAUGGCUUGAGUUCGGGAGAGGGAUGCGGAAUUCCAGGUGUAGCGGUGAAAUGCGCAGAUAUCAGGAGGAACACCAAUUGCGAAGGCAGCUCGCUGGGACGUAACUGACGCUGAGACGCGAAAGCGUGGGGAGCAAACAGG
rnacentral:rRNA from 1 species